GGAGGGUAUAGCUUAGUGGUAGAGUAUGUGCUUAGCAUGCACAAGGUCCUGGGUUCAAUCCCCAGUUCCUCCA
rnacentral:tRNA from 1 species